AUCAUUUAAAGAGUGCGUAAUAGCUCACUAGUCGAGUGACACUGCGCCGAAAAUGUACCGGGGCUAAACAUAUUACCGAAGCUGUGGAUUGUCCUUUGGACAAUGGUAGGAGAGCGUUCUAAGGGCGUUGAAGCAUGAUCGCAAGGACAUGUGGAGCGCUUAGAAGUGAGAAUGCCGGUGUGAGUAGCGAAAGACGGGUGAGAAUCCCGUCCACCGAUUGACUAAGGUUUCCAGAGGAAGGCUCGUCCGCUCUGGGUUAGUCGGGUCCUAAGCUGAGGCCGACAGGCGUAGGCGAUGGAUAACAGGUUGAUAUUCCUGUACCACCUAUAAUCGUUUUAAUCGAUGGGGGGACGCAGUAGGAUAGGCGAAGCGUGCGAUUGGAUUGCACGUCUAAGCAGUAAGGCUGAGUAUUAGGCAAAUCCGGUACUCGUUAAGGCUGAGCUGUGAUGGGGAGAAGACAUUGUGUCUUCGAGUCGUUGAUUUCACACUGCCGAGAAAAGCCUCUAGAUAGAAAAUAGGUGCCCGUACCGCAAACCGACACAGGUAGUCAAGAUGAGAAUUCUAAGGUGAGCGAGCGAACUCUCGUUAAGGAACUCGGCAAAAUGACCCCGUAACUUCGGGAGAAGGGGUGCUCUUUAGGGUUAACGCCCAGAAGAGCCGCAGUGAAUAGGCCCAAGCGACUGUUUAUCAAAAACACAGGUCUCUGCUAAACCGUAAGGUGAUGUAUAGGGGCUGACGCCUGCCCGGUGCUGGAAGGUUAAGAGGAGUGGUUAGCUUCUGCGAAGCUACGAAUCGAAGCCCCAGUAAACGGCGGCCGUAACUAUAACGGUCCUAAGGUAGCGAAAUUCCUUGUCGGGUAAGUUCCGACCCGCACGAAAGGCGUAACGAUUUGGGCACUGUCUCAACGAGAGACUCGGUGAAAUCAUAGUACCUGUGAAGAUGCAGGUUACCCGCGACAGGACGGAAAGACCCCGUGGAGCUUUACUGUAGCCUGAUAUUGAAAUUCGGCACAGCUUGUACAGGAUAGGUA
rnacentral:rRNA from 1 species